AUUGAACGCUGGCGGCAGGCUUAACACAUGCAAGUCGAGCGGUAGCACAGGGGAGCUUGCUCCCUGGGUGACGAGCGGCGGACGGGUGAGUAAUGUCUGGGAAACUGCCUGAUGGAGGGGGAUAACUACUGGAAACGGUAGCUAAUACCGCAUAACGUCGCAAGACCAAAGAGGGGGACCUUCGGGCCUCUUGCCAUCAGAUGUGCCCAGAUGGGAUUAGCUAGUAGGUGGGGUAAUGGCUCACCUAGGCGACGAUCCCUAGCUGGUCUGAGAGGAUGACCAGCCACACGGGAACUGAGACACGGUCCAGACUCCUACGGGAGGCAGCAGUGGGGAAUAUUGCACAAUGGGCGCAAGCCUGAUGCAGCCAUGCCGCGUGUGUGAAGAAGGCCUUCGGGUUGUAAAGCACUUUCAGCGAGGAGGAAGGUGGUGAGCUUAAUACGUUCAUCAAUUGACGUUACUCGCAGAAGAAGCACCGGCUAACUCCGU
rnacentral:rRNA from 1 species